rnacentral:rRNA from 1 species
GGGGGGGGGGGGCAAGCGUUGUUCGGAAUUACUGGGCGUAAAGGGCGCGUAGGCGGGUCGGGCAAGUCCCUCGUGAAAUCCCAUGGGCUCAACUGUGGAAUUGCGGGGGAUACUGCCUGACUUGAGUCCGGGAGAGGGGAGUGGAAUUCCCAGUGUAGCGGUGAAAUGCGUAGAUAUUGGGAGGAACACCGGUGGCGAAGGCGGCUCCCUGGACCGGUACUGACGCUGAGGCGCGAAAGCUAGGGGAGCAAACGGGAUUAGAUACCCCGGUAGUCCUAGCUGUAAACGAUGAGCACUUGGUGUGGCGGGUAUCGACCCCUGCCGUGCCGGAGCUAACGCAUUAAGUGCUCCGCCUGGGGAGUACGGUCGCAAAGGCUG